UGCAGUUUUUUUGGAGCGCAACGAGAAGCUCGACGUAAUUCAGAGUGAGGGAAAGAGGGGAUCCAUUUCUCCCAAGGUGAGCAACUCUCUCCAAUACCCUGAUGUUAAAUAAACACACCAAGACCUCUGGUCACCUCACUUCAGCUACUGGAACACCACUGGUGUGUCUGGAUGAUGGAGGGCUUUUGUUAUCUAUCGCCCCUGCAUUCUGCUGAGAGGCCAAGGAGACGGCCGGUCACACCAGUCUGAACAACAUCUGAUUGAAGAGGGAGAGAGAGCGGCUCAGUGUGUGUUUCAUCACCUGUGAAGCCAAUGAGGGAGAGCGUCUCCGCGUCAACAACUGUAAAGCGUAUCCCAGCUUCUGCCGUCUCCGCUGCCACGC